rnacentral:rRNA from 1 species
ACCAUGGCUUCGGCCAUGGGGAGAGCGGCGAACGGGUGAGUAACACGUGAGCGAUCUGCCCUCGACACUGGGAUAGCCCGGGGAAACCCGGAUUAAUACCGGAUAGCCUCUCGGGUCUACGGGCUCGUGAGAAAAGAUGGCUUCGGCUUUCGGUUGAGGAGGAGCUUGCGGCGGAUUAGCUUGUUGGUGAGGUAACGGCUCACCAAGGCGACGAUCCGUAGCUGGUCUGAGAGGACGAUCAGCCACACUGGGACUGAGACACGGCCCAGACUCCUACGGGAGGCAGCAGUGGGGAAUCUUGCGCAAUGGGCGAAAGCCUGACGCAGCGACGCCGCGUGAGGGAAGAAGGCCUUCGGG